AAGAAGAGAGGACAAGAGCAAAUAGAACUCCUGCGAUUCCUUCCACCAUGGCUCAAAACAAAACUUCCGAGGAGUAUGGCA
rnacentral:ribozyme from 1 species